GAGGAUGAAAGUGUAUAGGGAACUGGAGGGCAGAGGAGCCGGGUCCCUAUUGUUUGCCUGGUAGAAAGGUCCAGUCUUGCUGUAUCCUCCGACUCACUCCACUCUGUCUUUGUCUUUGUGAUUUUGGGUUCUGUUCUGCCAUUUUUGCUUCUCAAAGAAACCUAAUUGCAGUUUAAACCUGAUUAGCGAAAAUCGGAUGGUUUAAGGUUAUGCACUUGCUUUGGAUGUGACUGCCAGAGAAAUUCAAGCUUCUGCGAAGAUUAAAAGUUAGGAUCUGCAGAGAGUAGAAAGUGAAAAAGGGCAAAGGAAAGCGAUGCUGACUCUGGAAAGAUGGUUCAAGUGUCUGUUGGAGAAAUUUGGAUCGUUGGAGGAAGAAGUUGGUUCCUUACCAUUUUGAGGUAUAUAAUUAUACACCCUCAUUUUUAUUCAAAGCCUAAUUAGUUAUUUACAUUUUUUAAUUCAUCUCUGUAAAGCUUUCAUGCUUGGAUUUAAAUAUAUAAUUCAAUUUUUUUCAUUUGAACUUAGAACCUAAACCCUAAACCCUAAUGGAUUUACUUUGGAAAUUUCAAAAAUUUGGAUAGUUGGAGGAAGAAGUUGGUUCCUUACCAUUUUGAGGUAUAUAAUUAUACACCCUCAUUUUUAUUCAAAGCCUAAUUAGUUAUUUACAUUUUUUAAUUCACCUUUGUAAAGCUUUCAUGCUUGGAUUUUAAAUAUAUAAUUCAAUUUUUUUUCAUUUGAACUUUUGGAUCGUUGGAGGAAGAAGUUGGUUCCUUACCAU